GAGAGGUCGUGUUGGACGUUCUGCUCGCCAACCCGGUCAGGUUCGAGAGAAAGCAGCCGCAACGAGAUCAAGACGGGCCAACUCCACGACCUCUCA
rnacentral:SRP_RNA from 1 species